UGCUUAGAUUGUCUCGGUUCUACAAUCGCUUGAAUCUAGUGGGAGUUGAUCUUCCAAAUAAGAUAGUGAUUGACAUAGUUCUCCAAGUCACUGCCACAAAGCUACUGGAGCUUCGUGAUGAACUAUAACAUGCCAGGGAUGGAGAUGAUAAUCCCUGAGCUAUUCGCGACGUUUUACAAUGCGAAGGUAGAAAUCAAGAAGGAGCAUCAAGUAUUGAUGGUUAGUAAGACCA
rnacentral:lncRNA from 1 species